AAACAAAAAAAAAAAAGAUAAUUUAAGUUAUAAGAGCUAGUUAGAAACAAGCCUAAGUUAUCAGCCGAGCUUUGAUAAUUAGUAAGUUUCUGGGUCAUUAUUGGGGAGCUAAUGGACCCAACAAAAAGUCCGAUUACAAUGCCCCGCCCCAGGAGACCACAUAUCAGCUGCUGAGAACAAGAAGGGUCACCAUGCCAACAGUGAAGAGCGGUGCUCCAGGCUGAGGGACCAGUGGGGACAGAAGUCUGGGGGCAGGAAGAGCUGGUUUGCUGUUUCAUUGUCUACUUUUUAAGUCUUCCAGAAGUUUGUCAAAAAGAACAGAGCCGGUCUCAAAGGCAACUCACAGUAAAUGGACGUGGAUUGGGUUCUCAGCUAAAUGCUGCAUUGAACAAAUGUAAAGAGCAGAUUUGGAAGACACAGACCCUCGGGGAGCGACAUGUGGCCUGGCUUCAACCUCAGGACCGAGCUGUAAGAGAAAGGACCCAGCAACGCCACAGGGAUGAUCCGAUCUGAUGGCUGCAACCACUGUUGGACCCUAAAUCAGAACAGGCUAUGAAGUACCCAUGGAGCUACAGAAGGUGGAGCCUCAUUGGAGGUCACUCAGGGGUGCCCCAAAAGAUGUACCUCAACUCCAGCCUCUUCCUGUCCCUUCUUCCUGGCCUUGUCCUCUGCUCUGGCUGCCAUGAGCUGAUCUCAUCAUUAGCAUCACCAUCACCACCACCACCUCCACCAUCACCACCAUCAUCAGCA